rnacentral:rRNA from 1 species
AUGCGCUCAUUGCCGAGGCCGAUGCCGCUCUUUCUGGAGGCCGACACCGCUCUUUCUAGAAGAAAUCCCUCGGUGUCAAGCGGGGUGACGUGGACACCUACGUCCUUCAUGUUUGGGCGCUGGAGGGCGACGGGAGGCAUCGAUUCGCCGUUUGGCUCCUGCACUAGGGGACUGCGGCUGCUACAAAAGAUGCAGCAAUUGGAAGAUGCACAGGUCAGCAACGCCUCCUCCCCCUCGCACAGUUCCUCUGGACCUGUAGUAACGACUGAAACUAUUCGAGGACAAAUCUUGGAUUGUUGUUGUCGUUGGAAUUUAGAGUUGCAUGGUUGGCAUGGUCAACAUGGCAAAGAAAGUAUAGAAGAUUUGCCAAACCAAGUAUGGGCUUGUAGAGUACCUCAGGUAAUCAGAUUCUGCACCCAAAUUUAA